rnacentral:rRNA from 1 species
AUCCUGGCUCAGGAUGAACGUCGGCGGUGUGCCUAAUACAUGCAAGUCGUACGCACUGGCCCAACUGAUUGAUGGUGCUUGCACCUGAUUGACGAUGGAUCACCAGUGAGUGGCGGACGGGUGAGUAACACGUAGGUAACCUGCCCCGGAGCGGGGGAUAACAUUUGGAAACAGAUGCUAAUACCGCAUAACAACAAAAGCCACAUGGCUUUUGUUUGAAAGAUGGCUUUGGCUAUCACUCUGGGAUGGACCUGCGGUGCAUUAGCUAGUUGGUAAGGUAAUGGCUUACCAAGGCGAUGAUGCAUAGCCGAGUUGAGAGACUGAUCGGCCACAAUGGAACUGAGACACGGUCCAUACUCCUACGGGAGGCAGCAGUAGGGAAUCUUCCACAAUGGGCGCAAGCCUGAUGGAGCAACACCGCGUGAGUGAAGAAGGGUUUCGGCUCGUAAAGCUCUGUUGUUGGAGAAGAACGUGCGUGAGAGUAACUGUUCACGCAGUGACGGUAUCCAACCAGAAAGUCAC